GAAUAGUUCGCAAUAGGUAAUGUAAUUUAAUUGCUAAUUAAACGGGUAUAUCCCUUAAAGGUUCGACUCCUUUACUAUUCA
rfam:Hanseniaspora opuntiae strain AWRI3578 Hanseniaspora_opuntiae_AWRI3578_scaffold228, whole genome shotgun sequence.